AUAAAUAAAAAGUGCCAAAACAACUGUCGAACUCCGCCUACUUUUCAUAUUCCGCCGGUCAGUGACCAACCAAUCUACGUGUAUGGAGGUUGGAGCGUUUGUGUAUUCAUGAUCAAGUGAAGUGUGCAGUGCUUCUGUUAUAUUUACUUUAAUUUUCUUUGGAAUUCCAUCUUCCAGGUUUUCAAAAUGUUUAAAUUUAUCAAAGCCAAAGGGCCACAGACAGCAGAGCGACAGAGAUUG